CCAAAAGGAUAUCCAUGGUAAUUCUGAGGCUAAUACUUGACUGUAACCCCUGGCUGACCGGGCAACUGGUAGGCUGGGGGACGUGUACGGCUUCGCACACCAUUAAGGAAUGAAUGCACGUUCAGACCGCUUUUCAACACAGAUAGGGGGUAAUCCUUCGGGAGAUAACCCCUGCCUGAGCGGCUCUAGCACGGUGCUUCUGACCUAUCAACUAG
rnacentral:rRNA from 2 species